CGGAGGGUGCAAGCGUUAUCCGGAUUCACUGGGUUUAAAGGGUGCGUAGGUGGGUUGGUAAGUCAGUGGUGAAAUCCCCGAGCUUAACUUGGGAACUGCCAUUGAUACUAUCAGUCUUGAAUACCGUGGAGGUUAGCGGAAUAUGUCAUGUAGCGGUGAAAUGCUUAGAUAUGACAUAGAACACCAAUUGCGAAGGCAGCUGGCUACACGAAUAUUGACACUGAGGCACGAAAGCGUGGGGAUCAAACAGGAUUAGAUACCCUGGUAGUCCACGCCCUAAACUAUGGAUACUCGACAUACGCGAUACACUGUGUGUGUCUGAGCGAAAGCAUUAAGUAUCCACCUGGAGUACGAUCGCAAGAUUG
rnacentral:rRNA from 1 species